rnacentral:rRNA from 1 species
CCUACGGGGGGCAGCAGUGGGGAAUAUUGCACAAUGGGCGCAAGCCUGAUGCAGCCAUGCCGCGUGUGUGAAGAAGGCCUUCGGGUUGUAAAGCACUUUCAGCGGGGAGGAAGGCGGUGAGGUUAAUAACCUCAUCGAUUGACGUUACCCGCAGAAGAAGCACCGGCUAACUCCGUGCCAGCAGCCGCGGUAAUACGGAGGGUGCAAGCGUUAAUCGGAAUUACUGGGCGUAAAGCGCACGCAGGCGGUCUGUCAAGUCGGACGUGAAAUCCCCGGGCUCAACCUGGGAACUGCAUUCGAAACUGGCAGGCUAGAGUCUUGUAGAGGGGGGUAGAAUUCCAGGUGUAGCGGUGAAAUGCGUAGAGAUCGGGAGGAAUACCGGUGGCGAAGGCGGCCCCCUGGACAAAGACUGACGCUCAGGUGCGAAAGCGUGGGGAGCAAACAGGAUUAGAUACCCGAGUAGUC